UAAAAAAAUUAAACUUAUGCGUUCUCUUAUGUUCAUUUUAGUUGAAAUUGAUAGCUAGUCAUUGAUUGCUUGUUGAGCCUUUUGAUUAGAUAUUAAAAUUAUUUAUUGUUCUUGUUUAGAUUGAAUUUUGUGUUUAUGGGUGACCUGAAUUUUAAAGGGAAAUUAUGCGUUAUCCAUGAAACUAUAGCAUUUUUUUAGGUGGAAUCCUUAUGGAUUUGAAACUUCUCUAAAACUUAUCCGAAUCGCCUUGCUUGUUA
rnacentral:misc_RNA from 1 species